CGCUUUCUCUGCAUACACACAGUGCAGGUGAAGAUAUGUGUGCUCUCUGGUUGAGGAGGCACUUUCUCUGCAUACACACAGUGCAGGUGAAGAUAUGUGUGCUCUCUGGUUGAGGAGGCACUUUCUCUGCGUACACACAGUGCAGGUGAAGAUAUCUGUGUGCUCUCUGGUUGAGGAGGCACUUUCUCUGCGUACACACGGUGCAGGUGAAGGUAUAUGUGUGCUCUCUGGUUGAGGAGGCGCUUUCUCUGCAUACACACAGUGCAGGUGAAGAUAUGUGUGCUCUCUGGUUGAGGAGGCACUUUCUCUGCAUACACACGGUGGAGGUGAAGGUAUCUGUGUGCUCUCUGGUUGAGGAGGCACUUUCUCUGCGUACACACGGUGGAGGUGAAGAUAUCUGUGUGCUCUCUGGUUGAGGAGGCACUUUCUCUGCAUACACACGGUGCAGGUGAAGGUAUCUGUGUGCUCUCUGGUUGAGGAGGCACUUUCUCUGCAUACACACGGUGGAGGUGAAGAUAUGUGUGCUCUCUGGUUGAGGAGGCGCUUUCUCUGCAUACACACGGUGGAGGUGAAGGUAUCUGUGUGCUCUCUGGUUAUCAUCUAGUCAUGCUGCUGUCUAGGUUGCUG
rnacentral:lncRNA from 1 species